AAACUCAAAGGAAUUGACGGGGACCCGCACAAGCGGUGGAGCAUGUGGUUUAAUUCGAUGCAACGCGAAGAACCUUACCUGGUCUUGACAUACACGGAACUUUCCAGAGAUGGAUUGGUGCCUUCGGGAACCGUGAUACAGGUGCUGCAUGGCUGUCGUCAGCUCGUGUCGUGAGAUGUUGGGUUAAGUCCCGUAACGAGCGCAACCCUUAUCCUUAUUUGCCAGUACAUCAUGGUGGGAACUAUAAGGAGACUGCCGGUGAUAAACCGGAGGAAGGCGGGGACGACGUCAAGUCAUCAUGGCCCUUACGACCAGGGCUACACACGUGCUACAAUGGGAAGGACAAAGGGUUGCUAAGCCGCAAGGUGGUGCUAAUCUCAUAAAUCUUUUCGUAGUCCGGAUCGGAGUCUGCAACUCGACUCCGUGAAGUCGGAAUCGCUAGUAAUCGUGGAUCAGAAUGCCACGGUGAAUACGUUCCCGGGUCUUGUACACACCGCCCGUCAUACCAUGGGAGUGGGUUGCAAAAGAAGUGGGUAGCUUAUCUGGGCGCUCACCACUUUGUGAUUCAUGACUGGGGUAAAGUCGUAACAAGGUA
rnacentral:rRNA from 1 species